GACGAACGCUGGCGGCGUGCUUAACACAUGCCAGUCGAACGGAAAGGCCCUGCUUUUGUGGGGUGCUCGAGUGGCGAACGGGUGAGUAACACGUGAGUAACCUGCCCUUGACUUUGGGAUAACUUCAGGAAACUGGGGCUAAUACCGGAUAGGAGCUCCUGCUGCAUGGUGGGGGUUGGAAAGUUUCGGCGGUUGGGGAUGGACUCGCGGCUUAUCAGCUUGUUGGUGGGGUAGUGGCUUACCAAGGCUUUGACGGGUAGCCGGCCUGAGAGGGUGACCGGCCACAUUGGGACUGCGAUAGGGCCCAGACUCGUACGGGCGGCAGCAGGGGGGAAUAUUGCAAAAUGGGCGGAAGCCUGAUACAGCAACGCCGCGUGCGGGAUGACGGCCUUCGGGUUGUAAACCGCUUUCGCCUGUGACGAAGCGUGAGUGGCGGUAAUGGGUAAAGAAGCACCGGCUAACUACGUG
rnacentral:rRNA from 1 species